CAGCAGCCACGGUAAUACGGAGGGGGCUAGCGUUGUUCGGAAUUACUGGGCGUAAAGCGCACGUAGGCGGUUUUGUAAGUCAGAGGUGAAAGCCCGGAGCUCAACUCCGGAACUGCCUUUGAGACUGCAUCACUUGAACGUCGGAGAGGUGAGUGGAAUUCCGAGUGUAGAGGUGAAAUUCGUAGAUAUUCGGAAAAACACCAGUGGCGAAGGCGGCUCACUGGACGACUGUUGACGCUGAGGUGCGAAAGCGUGGGGAGCAAACAGGAUUAGAUACCCGCGUAGUCCCUGUCUCUUAUAC
rnacentral:rRNA from 1 species